GGCCGCAGUAUACUAACUGUGCAAAGGUAGCAUAAUCAUUAGUCUUUUAAUUGAAGGCUGGUAUGAAUGGUUGGACGAGAUAUUAACUGUUUCAUAAAAAUUUAUAAUAGAAUUUUAUUUUUUAGUCAAAAAGCUAAAAUAAAAUUAAAAGACGAGAAGACCCUAUAAAUCUUUAUAUUUAUAUUAUUAGAAUUUUGUAGAUUUUUUUUAUUAUAAUAAUUAAUUAUAUUUUAUUGGGGUGAUAUUAAAAUUUGAUAAACUUUUAAUUUUUAAAAUCAUUAAUUUAUGAAUAAUUGAUCCAUUAAUAGUGAUUAAAAAAAUAAGUUACUUUAGGGAUAACAGCGUAAUUUUUUUGGAGAGUUCAUAUCGAUAAAAAAGAUUGCGACCUCGAUGUUGGAUU
rnacentral:rRNA from 1 species